rnacentral:RNase_P_RNA from 1 species
AGAGUAGGACAAAUGACCGCCGCCCCCGUACUCAGUUUAUGGGGCAACACAUCGCAUUAGAAAAUCCCGAAAGGGAUUCCAUAAACUGAGUGCGGGGGGAGAGGAAAGUCCGGGCUCCGCAGGACAGGAUGCUGGGUAACACCCAGUCUCGGCGACGAGAAGGAAAGUGCCACAGAAAACAAACCGCCCUGCACCCGGUUUAAAGGAAAUGAUCAGCCCUUAAAAAUGUUUUUAUUUAAUAACGACAUCGGAAUAGCGGUGAUUUCCCGACAAACUGGGUGCAGGGUAAGGGUGAAAAGGUGAGGUAAGAGCUCACCAGUCUCAUCGGUGACGAUGGGAGCUAGGUAAACCCCAUCCGGAGCAAGACCAAAUAGGGGAACGUUAAGGGUGGUCCGCCCGAGUUCCCGGGUAGGUCGCUUGAGCGCGUUGGUAACCUCGUGCCUACAUGAAUGGUCAUUAUCCUGUGGGGUGAUUUGAAUCACCCCAAAAGGGACACAGAACCCGGCUUAUGGCCUGCUCUAACA